rnacentral:rRNA from 1 species
UACGGGGGGGCAAGCGUUGUUCGGAAUUACUGGGCGUAAAGGGCUCGUAGGCGGCCCACUAAGUCAGACGUGAAAUCCCUCGGCUUAACCGGGGAACUGCAUCUGAUACUGGAUGGCUUGAGUUCGGGAGAGGGAUGCGGAAUUCCAGGUGUAGCGGUGAAAUGCGUAGAUAUCUGGAGGAACACCGGUGGCGAAGGCGGCAUCCUGGACCGACACUGACGCUGAGGAGCGAAAGCCAGGGGAGCAAACGGG